AGUGAACGCUGGCGGUAGGCCUAACACAUGCAAGUCGAACGGAAGGACAGUAAGCGCUUGCUCUUACGGGUGGCGAGUGGCGGACGGGUGAGGAAUACAUCGGAAUCUACUUUUUCGUGGGGGAUAACGUAGGGAAACUUACGAUAAUACCGCAUAUGACCUACGGGUGAAAGCAGGGGAGAUUCGGACCUUGCGCGAUUGAAUGAGCUGAUGCCGGAUUAGCUAGUCGGUUGGGUAAAGGCCCACCAAGGCGACGAUACGUAGCUGACCUGAGAGGAUGGUAGGCCACGCUGGAACUGAGACACGGUCAAGACUCCUACGGUAGGCAGCAGUAGGGAAUCUUCCGCAAUGGGCGAAAGCCUGACGGAGCAACGCCGCGUGAGUGAUGAAGGUCUUCGGAUCGUAAAACUCUGUUAUUAGGGAAGAACAAAUGUGUAAGUAACUGUGCACGUCUUGACGGUACCUAAUCAGAAAGCCACGGCUAACUACGUG
rnacentral:rRNA from 1 species